rnacentral:sRNA from 1 species
GCAGAAGCGAGUAGACAUCGAGGUCCUACCCCAAGAGCUCCAGCCAGCUCUGACCUUUGCUCUUCCAGACCCAUCUCGAUUCACCCUAGUGGAUUUCCCACUGCACCUUCCCUUGGAACUUCUAGGUGUGGACGCCUGUCUCCAGGUGCUAACCUGCAUUCUGUUAGAGCACAAGUGAUUCUUACUGGAUGGCUCAUGACAGGUGGUGCUACAGUCCCGAGACUACAAUGCACUCUCCAUGUCUGUGAUGGCAUUCGUGGCAAUGAUCUACCCACUGGAGUAUAUGUUUCCUGUCAUCCCGCUGCUACCCACCUGCAUGGCAUCAGCAGAGCAGCUGCUGUUGGCUCCAACCCCGUACAUCAUUGGGGUUCCUGCCAGCUUCUUCCUCUACAAACUGGACUUCAAAAUGCCUGAUGAUGUAUGGCUAGUGGAUCUGGACAGCAAUAGGGUGAUUGCCCCCACCAAUGCAGAAGUGCUGCCUAUCCUGCCAGAACCAGAAUCACUAGAGCUGAAAAAGCAUUUAAAGCAGGCCUUGGCCAGCAUGAGUCUCAACACCCAGCCCAUCCUCAAUCUGGAGAAAUUUCAUGAGGGCCAGGAGAUCCCCCUUCUCUUGGGAAGGCCUUCUAAUGACCUGCAGUCCACACCCUCCACUGAAUUCAACCCACUCAUCUAUGGCAAUGAUGUGGAUUCUGUGGAUGUUGCAACCAGGGUUGCCAUGGUACGGUUCUUCAAUUCCGCCAACGUGCUGCAGGGAUUUCAGAUGCACACGCGUACCCUGCGCCUCUUUCCUCGGCCUGUGGUAGCUUUUCAAGCUGGCUCCUUUCUAGCCUCACGUCCCCGGCAGACUCCUUUUGCCGAGAAAUUGGCCAGGACUCAGGCUGUGGAGUACUUUGGGGAAUGGAUCCUUAACCCCACCAACUAUG